rnacentral:rRNA from 1 species
ACKGCUCAGUAACACGUGGAUAACCUGCCCUUGGGUCCGGCAUAACCCCGGGAAACUGGGGAUAAUUCCGGAUAACGCACAUAUGCUGGAAUGCUUUAUGCGUAAAAUGGAUUCGUCUGCCCAAGGAUGGGUCUGCGGCCUAUCAGGUAGUAGUGGGUGUAAUGUACCUACUAGCCAACAACGGGUACGGGUUGUGAGAGCAAGAGCCCGGAGAUGGAUUCUGAGACAUGAAUCCAGGCCCUACGGGGCGCAGCAGGCGCGAAAACUUUACAACGCGGGAAACCGUGAUAAGGGGACACCGAGUGCCAGCAUCAUAUGCUGGCUGUCCAGGUGUGUAAAAUACACCUGUCAGCAAGGGCCGGGCAAGACCGGUGCCAGCCGCCGCGGUAACACCGGCGGCUCGAGUGGUAACCGUUAUUAUUGGGUCUAAAGGGUCUGUAGCCGGCCGGAUAAGUCUCUUGGGAAAUCUGGCAGCUUAACUGUCAGGCUUUCAGGAGAUACUGUCUGGCUCGAGGCCGGGAGAGGUGAGAGGUACUUCAGGGGUAGGGGUGAAAUCUUGUAAUCCUUGAAGGACCACCAGUGGCGAAGGCGUCUCACCAGAACGGACCUGACGGCAAGGGACGAAAGCUAGGGGCACGAACCGGAUUAGAUACCCGGGUAGUCCUAGCCGUAAACGAUACUCGCUAGGUGUCGGCCACGGUGCGACCGUUGUCGGUGCCGUAGGGAAGCCGUGAAGCGAGCCACCUGGGAAGUACGGCCGCAAGGCUGAAACUUAAAGGAAUUGGCGGGGGAGCAC